rnacentral:rRNA from 1 species
GAUGAACGCUGGCGGCGUGCCUAAUACAUGCAAGUAGAACGCACAGUUUAUACCGUAGCUUGCUACACCAUAGACUGUGAGUUGCGAACGGGUGAGUAACGCGUAGGUAACCUGCCUGGUAGCGGGGGAUAACUAUUGGAAACGAUAGCUAAUACCGCAUAAUAUUGAUUAUUCCAUGAUAAUUGAUUGAAAGAUGCUAUUGCAUCACUACCAGAUGGCCCUGCGUUGUAUUAGCUAGUAGGUGAGGUAACGGCCCACCUAGGCGAAGAUAAAUAGCCGAACUUGAAAGGUGGUCCGCCAAACUGGGAAUGAGGAAAGGCCCAGGAUCCUUCGGGAAGCAACAGGUGGGGAUCUUCGGCAAUGGACGGAAGGCUGGACGGAGAAAGCCGCGUGGGGGAAGGAGGUUUUCGGGUCGGAAAACUCUGGUGAAAAGGGAGAAAGGGUGUGGGAGUGGAAAGUUCACGCUGUGACGGUAUCUUAUCAGAAAGGGACGGCUAACUACGUG